UAAUAAUUAUCAAUUUUUUAUAUUUACCACAUGUAUUUUUAGAAUUCAUAAUAGAUAACCCUAAUUUAUUUUACCUUUAACCUUUGUUGCCUCUCUACCCACUAAUCACCACAACCUACUCCACGAUUAAUCUGUUCUCUUCCGUGCAUCAAGCAUUCGUUGCCGGUCUCGAGCCCUCACCCGGCGUCAGUAUCAUCCUCUCUCUCUUUUCAGCCCAGCACCUCAUUGUCUCAUUCAUUCUUAGUAUCUCUCUUCUCUCUUCGUGUCGUUCGUCUUCACCCUCAGAGCGGUGGCGUGGGUCUCAGAGAGUCAAUAUCGUCGUCUGCGCCGGGGUGCUCCGUCUCCCCCUUCAUCGUUCCACUUCCAGUGUUCCAAUAGAUCCUCAACCUCGGGUAUGGAAAAAGUUGGUGUUGAUGGGAAACACAAGCUUGCAGAUAAAGGUUUUGUUAGUGUCUUCGAAUCACAUUUGAGGGAACUUAAUGCUCCAUUUUAUGAGGCUACUCAUAAGGCUGGCUGGUUUUUUACUACAAACGAAGCAAUCAAGUUAUGGCUGCAGUCUAGGUGUUCAACUAAAAUAGUUGCUGCUUAGAAACUUAAAGGUUUUUUAGGUGUUCUAACAGUGUCUCCUUCACUAUUGAUGGUGUUACUUUAGGGAGUCAUUUGCCAAGUAGUUUUUAUGCAUUUUCCUAUCCCCUCUGCAGAAAUUUUGUACUAGUAGAUUAGAAAAUUAAUACUUUUAAAUAAAUUUUUGGAUUUAUUAGAGAAAAUCAAUGUAUUUGAACAAUUCAUAUAUUAAUUGAAAAUACAGAUGAUAAAGUA